rnacentral:lncRNA from 1 species
CUGGAGUGCAAGAUGUAGGUUUUUGGAUUGGGCUCAAAUCUGAUAAAAGUGGUGAAAUGUGAUGUGGAUGGAUAAGCUGCAUGGUAUCCCACCUACCUCCAGCUGAUGCUGCAGAAGAUCUCUUGUUUUCUGGCAAUCCCUUGACACUAACUGGAGGCUGCAGCCUGAUUUGAGGAACCUCUUUUUUCUACAUUUUGGAGAAAACCAAUGGAAUAAACAAGUAAAAACACAGAUGUUCAUCAAGGCAACAGAGAAAAGACAAAGAGCACAAAAGCCUCUAGGACCUGUUGGGAUGUACUUCCACUUGCAUGCUGCUAACACGGACUUUUCAAGUUCUGCUGGCUACUUGGGUGAUUUUCUAAAUUUCAGAUGACCCUCCACAUCCAACUAAAAUGAUAUCCUCCCAGAGCAGAAGAUGCAGGCCCCAAGUGGAGUCGGACAGUUCUUUUACCAGGGACCAGCACCAUGGACAGAGCAGCUGCAUUCCUCCCGAGGAAAGCCUUUAUCACUCGUCCUUGCAGAUGUCUGGCAAAGAUUUGACCUAAUAGUCAAGAAUGUAAUGUUUGGGGUUUGUUUGUUUGUUUGUUUGUUUGUUUGUUGCAUUU